UUAGGAAUAUUGCACAAUGGGCGAAAGCUUGAUGCAGCGACGCCGCGUGGGGGAUGACGUCUUUCGGGAUGUAAACCCCUUUUGUUGGGAAAGAACUAAGACGGUACCCAACGAAUAAGCCCCGGCUAACUACGUGCCAGCAGCCGCGGUAAUACGUGGGGGGCGAGCGUUGUCCGGAAUUACUGGGCGUAAAGAGCGUGUAGGCGGUCUGUCAAGUCGGAUGUGAAAUCUCCAGGGCUCAACCCGGAAACUGCAUUUGAUACUGACGGACUUGAGAGAUGAAGGGGCAAGUGGAAUUCCCGGUGUAGCGGUGAAAUGCAUUGAUAUCGGGAGGAACACCCGUAGCGAAGGCGGCUUGCUGGGCAUCUUCUGACGCUGAGACGCGAAAGCAGGGGGAGCA
rnacentral:rRNA from 1 species